UACAGAGACUGCAAGCGUUAUUCGGAUUCACUGGGCGUAAAGGGCGCGUAGGCGGCCACCGCAAGUCGACUGUGAAAUCUCCGGGCUUAACCCGGAAAGGUCAGCCGAUACUGCGGGGCUAGAGUGCAGAAGGGGCAACUGGAAUUCUCGGUGUAGCGGUGAAAUGCGUAGAUAUCGAGAGGAACACCUGCGGCGAAGGCGGGUUGCUGGGCUGACACUGACGCUGAGGAGCGAAAGCGUGGGGAGCGAACAGG
rnacentral:rRNA from 1 species